CUAACAUUCUAAACACACUGGAGGCACCAGAUCCUGUCUGAUCUCAAAAGCUAAGCAAGGUAAGGCUGGUUAGUUCUUGAAAAUGAGAUCACCAUGGAAUAUCAACAUUAUGUUCAGG
rnacentral:rRNA from 11 species